AGGAUGAACGCUGGCGGCGUGCCUAACACAUGCAAGUCGAACGUCCUGUCUCGCAAGAGGCAGGGAGUGGCGGACGGGUGAGUACCACGUGGGUUAUCUACCGUGAGGUGAGGAAUACCGGCGAGAAAUCGCCGACAAGACCGCAUAGCCUCGGUGCAAGCCGAGGAAAGCUUUCUCGAGAGAGGGAGCGCCACACGAGGAGCCUGCGCCCGAUUAGCUAGCUGGUGGAGUAACGGUUCACCAGGGCGACGAUCGGUAGCUGGUCUGAGAGGACGAUCAGCCACACUGGGAUUGAGAACGGCCCAGACUCCUACGGGGGCAGCAGUGAGGAAUUUUCGUCAAUGGGGGCAACCCUGAACGAGCAACGCCGCGUGCAGGAAGAAGGUUUUCGGAUCGUAAACUGCUUUUCUCGGGGAAGAGGAACGGACGGUACCCGAGGAAUCGACGCCCCGGCUAACUACGUGCCAGCAGCCGCGGUAA
rnacentral:rRNA from 1 species